GACGUAGGGCGCGAGCGUUGUCCGGAUUUAUUGGGCGUAAAGAGCUCGUAGGCGGUUUGUCGCGUCGGGAGUGAAAUCCACUGGCUUAACUGGUGGCUUGCUUUUCGAUACGGGCAGACUGGAGGUAUGCAGGGGGAGAACGGAAUUCCUGGUGUAGCGGUGAAAUGCGCAGAUAUCAGGAGGAACACCGGUGGCGAAGGCGGUUCUCUGGGCAUGUCCUGACGCUGAGGAGCGAAAGUGU
rnacentral:rRNA from 1 species